UGAUAAUAAUUUAAGGUCUAAUCUGCUCAAUGAGGAGUUAAAUAGCCGCAGUAUUUUGACUGUGCAAAGGUAGCGUGAUAAUUAGUUCUUUAAUUAGGAACUUGUAUGAAUGAUUGGACAAGAAAAUUUCUGUCUCUUUUUAAUUUUUUGUGAAUUUUAUUUUUAAGUUAAAAUGCUUAAAUAUUUGUAAAAGACGAGAAGACCCCAUAGAGUUUUAUUUAAAUUAGUUGGGGUGACUAAAAGAUUAAAUUAACUCUUUUAAUUUAGAUCAUUGAUUUAUGAAUAAUAAUUCUAAUUUUUUUAAAUUUAAAUUAAAUUACCUUGGGGAUAACAGCGUGAUUUCUUUUUAGAGUUCUUAUCAAAUAAGAAGAUUACGACCUCGAUGUUGGAUUAAAAUUUAUUUUAGGUGUAGAAGCUUAAAAAUUGAGUCUGUUC
rnacentral:rRNA from 1 species